CAGCAGCCGCGGUAAUACGGAGGAUCCAAGCGUUAUCCGGAAUCAUUGGGUUUAAAGGGUCCGUAGGCGGUCUUGUAAGUCAGUGGUGAAAGCCCAUCGCUCAACGGUGGAACGGCCAUUGAUACUGCAGGACUUGAAUUAUUGGGAAGUAACUAGAAUAUGUAGUGUAGCGGUGAAAUGCUUAGAGAUUACAUGGAAUACCAAUUGCGAAGGCAGGUUACUACCAAUUGAUUGACGCUGAUGGACGAAAGCGUGGGUAGCGAACAGGAUUAGAUACCCGCGUAGUUCCUGUCUCUUAUAC
rnacentral:rRNA from 1 species